GAUGAACGCUGGCGGCGUGCCUAAUACAUGCAAGUCGAGCGAACGGACGAGAAGCUUGCUUCUCUGAUGUUAGCGGCGGACGGGUGAGUAACACGUGGAUAACCUACCUAUAAGACUGGGAUAACUUCGGGAAACCGGAGCUAAUACCGGAUAAUAUUUUGAACCGCAUGGUUCAAAAGUGAAAGACGGUCUUGCUGUCACUUAUAGAUGGAUCCGCGCUGCAUUAGCUAGUUGGUAAGGUAACGGCUUACCAAGGCAACGAUGCCUAGCCGACCUGAGAGGGUGAUCGGCCACACUGGAACUGAGACACGGUCCAGACUCCUACGGGAGGCAGCAGUAGGGAAUCUGCCGCAAUGGGCGAAAGCCUGACGGAGCAACGCCGCGUGAGUGAUGAAGGUCUUCGGAUCGUAAAACUCUGUUAUUAGGGAAGAACAGAUGUGUAAGUAACUGUGCACAGCUUGACGGUACCUAAUCAGAAAGCCACGGCUAACUACGUG
rnacentral:rRNA from 1 species